GACGAACGCUGGCGGCGUGCCUAAUACAUGCAAGUUGAGCGCUGAAGGUUGGUACUUGUACCAACUGGAUGAGCAGCGAACGGGUGAGUAACGCGUGGGGAAUCUGCCUUUGAGCGGGGGACAACAUUUGGAAACGAAUGCUAAUACCGCAUAAAAACUUUAAACACAAGUUUUAAGUUUGAAAGAUGCAAUUGCAUCACUCAAAGAUGAUCCCGCGUUGUAUUAGCUAGUUGGUGAGGUAAAGGCUCACCAAGGCGAUGAUACAUAGCCGACCUGAGAGGGUGAUCGGCCAAAUUGGGACUGAGACACGGCCCAAACUCCUACGGGAGGCAGCAGUAGGGAAUCUUCGGCAAUGGACGAAAGUCUGACCGAGCAACGCCGCGUGAGGGAAGAAGGUUUUCGGAUCGUAAAACUCUGUUGGUAGAGAAGAACGUUGGUGAGAGUGGAAAGCUCAUCAAGUGACGGUAACUACACAGAAAGGGACGGCUAACUACGUG
rnacentral:rRNA from 1 species